UACGUAGGGUGCAAGCGUUAAUCGGAAUUACUGGGCGUAAAGCGUGCGCAGGCGGUGAUGUAAGACAGAUGUGAAAUCCCCGGGCUCAACCUGGGAACUGCAUUUGUGACUGCAUCGCUGGAGUGCGGCAGAGGGGGAUGGAAUUCCGCGUGUAGCAGUGAAAUGCGUAGAGAUGCGGAGGAACACCGAUGGCGAAGGCAGCCCCCUGGGCCAAUACUGACGCUCAGGCACGAAAGCGUGGGGAGCAAACAGG
rnacentral:rRNA from 1 species